rnacentral:rRNA from 1 species
GAUGAACGCUGGCGGCGUGCCUAAUACAUGCGAGUCGAGCGAACGGACGAGAAGCUUGCUUCUCUGAUGUUAGCGGCGGACGGGUGGGUAACACGUGGAUAACCUACCUAUAAGACUGGGAUAACUUCGGGAAACCGGAGCUAAUACCGGAUGAUAUUUUGAACCGCAUGGUUCAAAAGUGAAAGACGGUCUUGCUGUCACUUAUAGAUGGAUCCGCGCUGCAUUAGCUAGUUGGUAAGGUAACGGCUUACCAAGGCAACGAUGCAUAGCCGACCUGAGAGGGUGAUCGGCCACACUGGAACUGAGACACGGUCCAGACUCCUACGGGAGGCGGCAGUAGGGAAUCUUCCGCAAUGGGCGAAAGCCUGACGGAGCAACGCCGCGUGAGUGAUGAAGGUCUUCGGAUCGUAAAACUCUGUUAUUAGGGAAGAACAUAUGUGUAAGUAACUGUGCACAUCUUGACGGUACCUAAUCAGAAAGCCACGGCUAACUACGUG